GCAAGUGAUCGCCAAACUCAUCGUCCGAGGACGUGGAUCCUGGAUCUAAUUCUACAAAGAAUUGCAACGUACAGAACAAUAUCAGAACUGCCAGAUAAGUGUUCAUUACCGGCUUGUCCAUCGCGACGAGUAGCAAUUCAAUAGUAGGCUAACUUUAUUGACAGUUUUGGCAGCGUUGGCAUUUGUUUUUUGUUUGAUCGACCGUUGAGAUGCACGGGCCGCACGGAUAAACGAAUGUACAAGCAUAGGGGAAGGAGCAUUUCUGUCCCCAACAUCUGAGCUGCCUAAACUGUAAGUUCGUGGAUGAAGACUGCUUCCAUCGAUACUACUGUUGCUGCUAUAGACUGGUCAUCAAUACGAUUCAUCCGAUGGUCUAAUGAGCUGAGACUUAGUCGUAGAUGGUUCUCUUUCACGUUCAUGUCAUCCAAGCGGAGAGACAUAUUUUCAACCCUUUAGAAAUAAAGAAAUAAAUAAAGUUAUGUAUCAAAGAUUUUUAGAAUUUAUAAUGUAAUAUUAAUUAUCUUUUUUUUUCUAAUCCCACCUUUCACUGAUAAACUUGAUCCUCUCUUCUGAUGAAUUCUGAUGUUUUAACUCUUUUUCUCGGUAGAGAUCUUCCAUGCAUUCCUCUUCAAAAUCAUGAAGUUUUUCUGUGUCUUCGUGAGACAAAAACAAUUCUGCCAAACAGACAAAUCACAAUUAAUAAAGGCAAUCCAAGUGAUGAGAAACAUUUAUAAACAACAGAAUACUAUGUGAUGUCAAAACUUUCCAAUUAAUUAAGUUAAAUUAUUAAACUAACUGUAAAUAAUUUCAUAUAUAUAAUAAAUAUGAUGUUAGUGAAGUUUCA